CCUACGGGCGGCAGCAGUAGGGAAUCUUUCACAAUGGGCGAAAGCCUGAUGGAGCAACGCCGCGUGCAGGAUGAAGUCCUUCGGGUUGUAAACUGCUUUUAUAAGCGAGAAAUAUGACGGUAACUUAUUAAUAAGGACCGGCUAACUACGUGCCAGCAGCCGCGGUCAUACGUAGGAUCCGAGCAUUAUCCGGAGUGACUGGGUGUAAAGGGUUACGUAGAUGGCAUAAUAAGUAGCUAGGGAAAUCUGGUGGCUUAACCAUUCAGACUAUUAGCGACACUGUAAAGCUCGAGACCGUUAGGGGUAACUGGAAUUUCUAGUGUAGGAGUGAAAUGCGUAGAUAUUAGGAGGAACACCAGUGGCGUAGGCGGCUUACUGGAACGGUACUGACGCUAAGGCACGAAAGCGUAGGGAGCAAACGGGAUUAGAUACCCUAGUAGUC
rnacentral:rRNA from 1 species